CUGCAUUGAAUACUUUUCUAAUUCUAUAAUCACUAAUAAUCUAUUUCAUAAGAAAUCCACAAAUCAGUAAAGCAAAAAGUACCCGAACUGUACCAUCAUAGGUAGCGGAAAUGAGACUAUUCCCCUCCAUAUCACACAUCAAGUGAUCAUCUACAUAAGUCGUUGAGUUUGAUUGUUGAAUUUGAUUAUUGAAUUUGGAAUACACAAGAAAUUAUAAUUUUAUUGAUGAAAUGAAUUUUAUACAAUUUUAGACAUACACCAAAAAUACUAACCAAACACAUUAAGACACCUCACUAUGACCAAUAAUAAUAUUUUAUUCACUCAACUACUUCAACAAUUUAUCUCUCUCAUGCACACACUACUUCUAUCUACUUGUAUCUUCCACUAAUUUUUCCUCUCUCACUAUAUUCAACAAUUUCUCUCUCUCGCGCGCACACCAAAUUCUUCCACUAAUUUUUCCUUGUUUUUCCUUUCUCUAACUAUAUUUUUCACAGUCAGUCUCCGUCUCUCCUCACUUUCUUUGUUGCUCUCCACUCAUUCUUCUCUCCACACACGUUCUUCACACACUUUCCACUUAGAUAAAAAAUACAGCAACACACACACACACAUAUAUAGAAAUGCAAGGUCAGUGGCUAAUGGUUCUAUAGUUCUACUAUGGCGGUAGAGGUGGCUGCAUCAAUUCUAGAACCAUCCUUCAAUGGCAAUGGGCUUUGUUUCUAGCAUUGAAUGAUUUCUUGAAUAUUCUUCAACUUCCCAGCAGCCAUAGGUGAGCUGGAGAGGAAAAUGAUUUCUUCAUUCAAUUUACUUUCUUCAUUUAAUUGAAAUAUA
rnacentral:lncRNA from 1 species